UUUUUUUUUUUUUUAUUUCUUAACAGUGAGUUCUUUACUCUAUUAGUUCUCAAUAAAGACCAGUAGUUGGGUAAAUUUUUUUACAAAUCUAAUUAGAAUCUGCUUUGUCAUUAGAAGAAAAAAUACAACAAGAAGGGCAACAGGGAAAGGGCAUACAGUUUAAAAAGUAUGACAAUACAAAAUGCAUAGAAAGGUUCUUCAAAGUCUAUCAUAGUAACAUCUGUGCAUUCUGUAAGUUCUAAUGUUUGUAGUUAAUGCUCAUAAAAUUUCAUUAAUCAUGGACAAAGCACCCAAUGUUUUGUACAAAUUCUGAGUUUAAAGUAGAAAAGCUGUUCUCUAUUCCAGUAGUAUUUUUUCCUCCUCUUCCUUUUGGAGAUGAAGAUAUGUAGGUAAAAUUGAGCAGAACAACAUAAUAGAGAUUUGCAGCAGAUGGACAAUUUCUCUUCUGUGUGUAUUUCCUGCCAUUCCUAAUAUACACAGGAAAAUCCCCACUGACUUCCCCUGGGGAUGGCAAACUGCCAGGUCAGGACUCAACAGGGACAAGGAUUCAGGGCUGGCACCUGAUUUUAGCAUUUUACCCUUUAACAGCUGACGUAUUGAAAUAACUAUACUGUUCAUUCUUAAGCAACAUAUAUGUACUACAUAAACAGAAAAAAAAAAAAAUAAAAAAGAGCAAGAAAAUACUUUGUUACCCUUUUCCCUUGGUAGAACAUGCUAGCUUCAUUAUUCAGGUGGAUAUUUUAAUCUAGUAAUCACACUUAUCUGAGAGCUGAAAUUUAGUUUAUCUCAGAUAACUUGGGUAAAUAAAGAAUAUUCACUUUUCAAAAAUCCUUCUGAGAUUCCCAUUUACUCAAUUCUAAGUUGAUUCAUGAAAAAUAAGUAGGUUUUUUUGUUUUGUUUUGUUUUUUUAAAGUCACAUAUUGUCCAUCCUCUGAUAUUCUGUUCAGGUCUGUGUAUAAAGGUAUGAAGAAAUGGCCUUUGAGGCAUCCAAAGUACAUCUUAUGAUAUUUAGCCACAGUGCCAUAUUCAUGGAAAGUAUCUAAAAAUUAUGUAGAAUCCUUCAGGAUUAAUGAAGAGCAGAAGGAAACAACAGAGUUACCAGAAAUUAAAUUUGCUGAUAGAUUAUGAAUAUUUGCUUUAUAAAACCCCAAAGAAAACAUCAUAAAUUCUUCUCCCAAACAAAAAAUAUAAUCCAAAGAAAAUGUACUCAUUCCCAGGAGCUUUUCCCAGGUGCUGAUACUUUAGCAAAGUUCCUUUCACUUAACUGGCUGCACUGAAAUUUGAUAACAUAAUUAUUGCAACAGUUGUGUGGUUUUUCUCUUUUCUCACUAAUCCCCCUCUCUCUGUGUAAUGCUCAGGUACCAGAAUAAUAGGGAGGAAAUGCAUUAGGCAAAGCUUGUUUCCAAAGGUCCAUCUGUGUGAGAUCUGCUUGCAGGAGUGUAGAUUGGGUCAGCUUUGGAGAAAGGAUGACAAAUUAUUUAUGGAAUUAGAUUUAACUGAGUAUCUAAGCCCUAACCUUUUCAUGUAAUGGUAUUCUGAAGAAAAUAAGAGAGUAGCUAAGAACUGAUGGGGUAAUGCUGUUUGUAUUUUUUUUUAUGGUGUUAAUUAGGUUUACAUGAUUGUCUGCCAUUUACCUCAGACCACAGGAUUAACUAAAUGCCUUCGUAUUGACUCCCUCAUCAGAAUUAUUAUCACUGCUUUUUCCAGGCAGCAUUAUUACACACAACAUUUACUUUAAUUUCCCCCAAAUACUGAAUAAAAAGUGUAUUCAUUAUAUAAUGCAUUUACUCUUCGAGUCAUGAAGUCAUGAACUCAUUUUAAGGACUGAGAAAAAGAAGCAAAUACAAAAUUAUUAUGGGCAAGACAUGCUGUCUGCCUCAGCAGUCAGUUUAAUGACUGUCAUGGAGAAAUAUAUUUUCAAGGCCAAUUGUGGCACAAGUAUUUUUAACUUGCCCUUGCUUACACUGGUUUAAAUCUGGAAUAACUCACUAAAGUUAGAGAGUAGAAGCCUGGAUGAAUUCCACAAAGUGAGAAAUGAAUUUGGCUGCUAGCAUAUAAAACUAAAGCUGUUAAUCUUCCUUUUGAUUUUCAAAUCGGUCAUCUCUAUAUAAAUGUUUACUACAGUUGUAGAAUCUAGGAAGUAACUUACUUAACAUUUUGGUUUGAAAAUAUAUUUUUUCCAGCUGAAGUCUGUAUUUCAAGGCAGUGUCUCACUCUGUCAAGUGCAGUAACCUGCCCCCUUUCUGUACAGCUGUACUGCCUUUGCACUUCUCACUGUUACCAAGUGGUUUCCUUUGCAAUACUUCCAGGAGGUGUUCCCUUUUCAUGGGCAGCCAACUGCUUCUCAUAGGGAUUGUGAGCUAAAUUCAGAGCAUGGACUGUUUUCCUCAGGUGUUUCUGUAGGACCUUACAGACACAUUCAGUUGCCUUAUCUACUCCACACUAAAAAGUGUCUGAAAUCACUCAUUGCCUAGUAUUUAAUGUGUGAAUUUAUAUUAUAUAUUGGCUGGACAUACAGGUGCAAUCAUAUCAAAUAGCAAGUUGCUGGGCAGCACCAGGUAUCUGCCAGGAUUCACAGAACAGAGGUUCCUCAUAAUUUAUCUAUGAUUCUUGAUUUACUAAAAUUCUCCAGUAAGGAGGGUGUGUGAAUUAGUCACGAUAGUUCUGCCUGUCUGAGUAACCCCUUGGGCUUAGAGUGCCAGGCUUGGACUCCAGCAGUGCUGCUGUCAGUGCUCCUAAGUGAUGGUGAUAGUUUCAUUCACCAGGCUCUCUGAAAAAUGUCUUUAGUGCAGUGUGCUUUCUAUAGAACACAUAUUUUCUGUGUCAAAAAGGCAUAUUUCCAAGGCAUGCAGCUAGGUAGGGGUGGACUUAAUUCUAGAAAUUUCUCAGUGAAACCAAUUUAUUCAUAACUGACAGUUUUCAAGAAGAAGGCUUGCCUGAGAAAUCCUCAGCCUGCAGCCUGUGGCUGGGGACAUGGAGCAGGGAAAGCAGGUGGGAUAUGGUAACACACGAUGGGCUGAUGGGGCUUGGCAGACAGGUGUGGGAGCAUCACCUGAGGGGUGUGACCAAAGGCUGCACAGUAGAGGUUCAAAUUUGGAUCUCCCACAUUACAGAAAAUGCAGAAAUAGUGAGUUAGAAUAUACAACCUCCAUCCCUCAUUUCUUAGUGAUUAAGAAACACAAUUUGACUGGUAAUUAGAACAACAGCAACCCUUGGACCCUUGCCUGUCCCGUGGUAUUUCCCAGUGGAUAACUAAGCUAUCUGUUGCUCAGAUCAAUCAGAUUUAUGAGCUUUGUUCUUCCACAUCCAAGAUUUUUUAUGCUUUAUGUAAGAUAGGCUGGGUUUUCGCCUCACGGCAUUGCAGCUGGUAGCAUGCAAAACCCAGGGAAGACUUGGGCCCCUCCAUUAACUUGUCUUCAAGAAAACAAUAGAGCUGAAAACUGGCCUAGAAACUGCUCCUGCAUGUUAUCCUGACUCCUUCCUUCUGUCCACCAUAUUUUUCUUCUUGAAACACAGCAGUGUCUCAGUGGAAUCACCAACAAAACCAAACUUCUUUCAUCUAAAAAUACGUUUUCACUAUCUCUAUGUUUUAAUAGAGAGCAAGGAGCACCAGCCCUGUGUUAGAAAGGAGUGGGGAAAAGAUCACUGGGUGCCUACAAGGUGUACUCAAAUUGUCAAAAAGGAACUUUUCCAUUGCCACAACUGGGCCAUUGACAACUUACAUGCUUUGUAUGUACUGUGAUUCGUAACAGAGAGCUUCCUGUCUUGCAAGAUGCUGAACUCUUCAUUUAGUAAAAGAAAUAGGAAACAGCAUACAUUAAAGUUUGGUCAUGUCUCAGCACUAAUUACUUUUUCGUCCUAUUUAUGACUGGAAAUCUUUUAGGUAGUUUGGUGUCUGAAUGGGUGCCUACAUUGCAAAGAAAUAAAACUAGGAUGAGCAAAAGCUCCUACAGAAGAAGUCCUAAAUAAUACUAAUGCGUUAGAGAUGUCCCCUAAUGUUCAGAACAAAUAAGGAGAAUUAUAAUUUGGGAAGGUCAGCAUCAAGAGCUAACAUAAAAUGUAUUUAAAGUAAGUUUAUUGUUAAAUUGUGUUUUAAAAGACUAUUAAGGAAUGUAAUUCCCAGAUAAGUACCUAAAUGGAUCUAAAUGCAACAUGUAGCUCUGUGUAUGGGGCAUACAAUGAAAUACAGUUUAGCUGUGAAGCAAACUUAUUUGCUAGUUUGUUUUUACUUGCUACAUGAUAUUUUGCUGCAGAAGCCAGAUCUACUGAAGUAAGCCCCUCUAUGAACACACCUGAACUCAAAGAUGAGUUAGACAAUAAGGGGCAAAAUGUAUAUUUUCAAGUAAAUGUGACUAGAAUUGUGAAUAGCUUGAAUUUAAUAUGUAGGUUUUUUCCCGAAGUUCUUCCCAUUGCACCAAGGGAAGGCAACAUAACAAUCAUCAUCUGUAAAACCAUUCUAUGCAUAUACAUUGGUGUGUAGAUAGUAUACAGAGCACCAUCUACUGACAUACAAUGAGCAUGAAAUACUCUUCCUUCCUAAAUUAUCUUCAUUGCAGCUCAUAACUGUUUUGAGAUUUUAGUUUUGCUACACCCCAUAACCUGUCUUUGAUUGAGGUAUGUCUUCCACCUCUAAUUUACACUCUAAAAUGUAAAAGGAUUAUGAGGCAAAUAAAAAUAUGUUGGGAAAUAAUCAGGCUAAGGACUUUCUAUGUCUCCAGCCAGCACACCCUGAAUUUGAUGAUUUCUGUGAAUA
rnacentral:lncRNA from 1 species